GAGGAGGAAGCAUUAAAAGAUGUGGCUAAUUUGAAAUUAGUUGAAGGUGUAUUAGUAUCAUCCCUUCUUG
rnacentral:tRNA from 1 species